UACGAAGGGGGCUAGCGUUACUCGGAUUGACUGGGCGUAAAGGGCGCGUAGGCGGUUUGUACAGUCAGACGUGAAAAUUCCUGGGCUCAACCUGGGGGCUGCGUUUGAUACGUGCAGACUUGAGUUCGGAAGAGGGUCGUGGAAUUCCCAGUGUAGAGGUGAAAUUCGUAGAUAUUGGGAAGAACACCGGUGGCGAAGGCGGCGACCUGGUCCGAUACUGACGCUGAGGCGCGAAAGCGUGGGGAGCAAACAGG
rnacentral:rRNA from 1 species